rnacentral:rRNA from 1 species
AUUGAACGCUGGCGGCAGGCCUAACACAUGCAAGUCGAGCGGAGCGGCGGACGGGUGAGUAAUGCCUAGGAAUCUGCCUGGUAGUGGGGGAUAAGGUCCGGAAACGGGCGCUAAUACCGCAUACUAUCAGAUGAGCCUAGGUCGGAUUAGCUAGUUGGUGGGGUAAAGGCCUACCAAGGCGACGAUCCGUAACUGGUCUGAGAGGAUGAGCAGUCACACUGGAACUAAGACACGGUCCAGACUCCUACGGUAUGCAGCAGUGGGGAAUAGUGCAAAAUGGGCGAAAGCGUUAUGCAGCCAUGCAGCGUGUGUGAAGAAGGUCUUCGGGUUGUAAAGCACUUUAAGCCGGGAGGCGUUACCAGCAGAAUAAGCACCGGCUAACUCCGUGCCAGACGCCGCGGUAAUAC